UGUGGUCCGGCGUCGGAGGGUUAUCUGUUCAUCCCUUCGGGGAAUUUCCCUUCGGCACAAACUCGACCAAC
rfam:Haemonchus placei strain MHpl1 genome assembly, scaffold: HPLM_scaffold0001751